rnacentral:rRNA from 1 species
CGGGUCUGAGAGGAUGAUCCGUCACACUGGAACUGAGACACGGUCCAGACUCCUACGGGAGGCAGCAGUGGGGAAUCUUGCGCAAUGGGAGCAAUCCUGACGCAGCAACGCCGCGUGGGUGAUGAAGGUCUUCGGAUCGUAAAGCCCUGUCGGAGGGGGAGAUGCUUGUAACGUCUAAUAGAUGAGACAGGUGACGGUACCCUCAAAGGAAGCACCGGCUAACUCUGUGCCAGCAGCCGCGGUAAUACAGAGGGUGCAAGCGUUGUUCGGAAUUAUUGGGCGUAAAGGGAGUGUAGGCGGUUUGAAAAGUCUUCUGUGAAAUCUACGGGCUUAGCCUGUAAAGUGCAGAGGAUACUAUCAGGCUUGAGUAUCGGAGAGGAUAGGGGAAUACCCAGUGUAGAGGUGAAAUUCGUAGAGAUUGGGUGGAACACCAGUAGCGAAGGCGCCUAUCUGGCCGAUAACUGACGCUGAGACUCGAAAGCAUGGGGAGCAUACAGGAUUAGAUACCCUGGUAGUCCAUGCCGUAAACGAUGAUAGCUAGAUGUGUGAGGUAUUGACCCCUUACGUGUCGAAGUCAACACGAUAAGCUAUCCGCCUGGGGAGUACGGUCGCAAGAUUAAAACUCAAAGGAAUUAACGGGGGCCCGCACAAGCGGUGGAGCAUGUGGUUUAAUUCGACUACGCGAAGAACCUUACCUAGGCUUGACAUGUAUAGAAGUCCUUAGAAAUUUGGAUGUGCUCGCAAGAGAGCUAUAACACAGGUGCUGCAUGGCUGUCGUCAGCUCGUGUCGUGAGAUGUUGGGUUAAGUCCCGCAACGAGCGCAACCCUUGUCGUUAGUUGCCAGCAUUUAGUUGGGAACUCUAACGAGACUGCCGUGGUUAACACGGAGGAAGGUGGGGAUGACGUCAAGUCCUCAUGGCCUUUAUGCUUAGGGCUACACACGUGCUACAAUGCAUUCUACAGAGGGCUGCGAAGCCGCGAGGUGAAGCCAAUCCCACAAAAGAAUGCUCAGUUCUGAUUGGAGUCUGCAACUCGACUCCAUGAAGCUGGAAUCGCUAGUAAUCGCGGAUCAGCACGCCGCGGUGAAUACGUUCCCGGGCCUUGUACACACCGCCCGUCACACCAUGGGAGUUGAUUGCUCCAGAAGUGGCAGACUUGUUUUGCCCCUAAGGAGUGCUCAAUGACUGGGGUGAAGUCGUAACAAGGUA